rnacentral:rRNA from 1 species
UUCCAGACUCCUACGGGAGGCAGCAGUGGGGAAUAUUGCGCAAUGGGCGAAAGCCUGACGCAGCGACGCCGCGUGAGGGAUGAAGGUCUUCGGAUCGUAAACCUCUGUCAGCAGGGAAGAACGGUCACUGUGCUAAUCAGCAGUGAAUUGACGGUACCUGCAAAGGAAGCACCGGCUAACUCCGUGCCAGCAGCCGCGGUAAUACGUAGGGGGCAAGCGUUAUCCGGAUUUACUGGGUGUAAAGGGAGCGUAGACGGCCAGACAAGUCUGAAGUGAAAAUCCAGCGCUUAACGCUGGAAGUGCUUUGGAAACUGCCGGGCUGGAGUGCAGGAGGGGCAGGCGGAAUUCCUAGUGUAGCGGUGAAAUGCGUAGAUAUUAGGAGGAACACCAGUGGCGAAGGCGGCCUGCUGGACUGCGACUGACGUUGAGGCUCGAAGGCGUGGGGAGCAAACAGGAUUAGAUACCCUGGUA